rnacentral:rRNA from 1 species
UGGGAACUGCGUUNUGAACUGGGCGACUAGAGUGUGUCAGAGGGAGGUAGAAUUCCACGUGUAGCAGUGAAAUGCGUAGAGAUGUGGAGGAAUACCGAUGGCGAAGGCAGCCUCCUGGGAUAACACUGACGUUCAUGCCCGAAAGCGUGUGUAGCAAACAGGAUUAGAUACCCUGGUAGUCCACGCCCUAAACGAUGUCGAUUAGCUGUUGGGCAGCAUGACUGCUUAGUAGCGAAGCUAACGCAUGAAAUCGACCGCCUGGGGAGUACGGUCGCAAGAUUAAAACUCAAAGGAAUUGACGGGGACCCGCACAAGCGGUGGAUGAUGUGGAUUAAUUCGAUGCAACGCGAUGAACCUUACCUGGUCUUGACAUGUACGGAACCCUCCAGAGACGGAGGGGUGUCUUCGGGAGCCGUAACACAGGUGCUGCAUGGCUGUCGUCAGCUCGUGUCGUGAGAUGUUGGGUUAANNNNNNCAACGAGCGCAACCCUUGUCAUUAGUUGCCAUCGUUAAGUUGGGCACUCUAAUGAGACUGCCGGUGACAAGCCGGAGGAAGGUGGGGAUGACGUCAAGUCCUCAUGGCCCUUAUGACCAGGGCUUCACACGUCAUACAAUGGUCGGUACAGAGGGUAGCCAAGCCGCGAGGUGGAGCCAAUCUCACAAAACCGAUCGUAGUCCGGAUUGCACUCUGCAACUCGAGUGCAUGAAGUCGGAAUCGCUAGUAAUCGCAGGUCAGCAUACUGCGGUGAAUACGUUCCCGGGUCU